rnacentral:lncRNA from 1 species
AUGGCCCUAUCCUAUCCUGAUCAGACUGCACUAGAAUUCUCCCUGGUUCUGAGCUCUGCACUUCUUACCCUGUCCCGGAUGACUGCUCUUCCACCCCCUGAUUUCUCCGUCCUCCUGAUUUUCCUGAGGAGAUGGACCAGCUCUUUGGAGCUGGGGUAUGGGAUCCUCUCUGGCAGCGUGCUGCAGGACAAAGGUGGCUUCAACAGAAGUGCAGGGAAAACAAUUGUUACCAGAGGAAAGAAUUCUAAUUCUCAUGGAGCAAAACCUGUGACCUGGCUCUGCUGAGCUGCAAUGGAAGCUGGGAAAAGGGAGUAUCUCACUCAACCUGGUUCUGUGGCUUCCAAACAAACCUGCUUUGACAAUCAAGGAGGAAAGGAAUCAUGAAUAUUGGGUAGGUUGUUGCAAGUGAUUGUUAUACAUCUUAUUCUACUACACAUUUCUGUGCAUUUGUUCAUAUAAUUCCUUCUGCUCAGCACACCCUUCUUCAUCGAAUGAAAGAGAAAUAAGCAAAUGCAUAUGCUUUUGCUCUCAACCCCAUUAGCCCAGAAAUCCUCACAGACUCAGUUGGAUUCCAUGUCUCAGUCCUAACUUUGCUUCCUUUCUCUACCUUGACCUACCCACCUUGAUUUCUAGCUCUGUCUCAGGAAAGGUCGUGCAUGGAAUGACAUAAUCAUGUCUGAUUACAUUUUAUCUACACCCUGAAAGAUGGCGACUUUAUCUUUCUAAUGAGCAGCACAUUUCUCGAUUCAUACUUUAUUACACAUUAUUAUCCCCAUCUUUUUGUUGGUAUGAUUGUUUCACAAAUUGCAGGCUCCCACAUUAAAUUAAUGCUGAUUAUGACUUUCCCCAGGUGCAUUAUCUUACAUUUAUCUAUAUUAAAUCUCAUCUCAUUUGCUUCCCAAAACUUUCAUUCUUCUCUGUUCUUUUAGCCUCUCCAAUACUUAUUAGGGUUUAGAAUUUGAUAGCAUCUAAAAUGUCAUCAACUUGUCUUUGUUUCUAAAUCGUAAAUAAGCUAGAAUAAAUCCCUCUAACAUGUACAGGAGAAAAAACUAGUAUGUAUUGCCCAUUGACUGCCUUAGCUGGGAGUUCUUAAGAUUAGGAUUUGGUGCACAGAGUGUAUGUGGAAGGAGAUUCUGGGAAGCACAGUGAUGGAAUGUGAAAGGGGGACAGAGUGAAGAAAAGAAAAUAAAGAGUGUGCAGUUGAGGGACACCUGGAUGGCUUAGUCAGUUAAGCAUCUGAUUCUUGAUUUCAGCUCAGACUAUGAUCUCAGGGUUGUGAUAUCAAGCCCUGCCUUGGGUCCCGUGCUCAGCAGGGAGUCUACUUGAGAUCCUAUUUCUCCCUCUCCUUCUGCUUCUCCCCUCUACUCCCUCCCUCAUGAAUAAAUAAAUAAGAAACGAGACAAAGACAGAACCGAAGCUGGGCACAGGCAGUGGACGUGGUCCCGCCGAGAGCCGAAGAUGGCAGUGAACGUACACUCAACGUCCAUCACCAGUGAUAACCUAAGUCGACAUGACAUGCUGGCCUGGAUCAAUGAGUCUCUGCAGCUGAACCUGACAAAGAUUGAACAGUUGUGUUCAGGGGCUGCCUAUUGUCAGUUUAUGGACAUGCUAUUCCCUGGUUCCAUUGCCUUGAAGAAAGUGAAAUUCCAGGCUAAACUAGAGCAUGAAUACAUCCAGAACUUCAAAAUAC